AAGUGGGUCAAUGGCUACUGUA
rnacentral:siRNA from 1 species